rnacentral:lncRNA from 1 species
UGAACUGAUAAUUAUUUUUAUUCACGUUCUCACCUUCAAAGAAAUAGCCUAAUAACCUUUUGUUAAAUCUCAUUCUCUUUUGCCACGUCAAAGCCUAUUACCGAUUGCCGAUUACUUUCCAAAAGUUACUGGUUCUCCACUGUUCCAGUAAAUCGAAGUCAAGGAGUAGGCCAGAAAGGAAGUUGGAUGUCUUUAAUUCUUCAAGAAACUCUGGACUAAAGUGCGUCACAGAGCUGACCUCCCGGAUAAAAGUUUCAACUCUGGGCCCCUACACACUCACACACGAGCUCCUUAAGUACGCACGAAAAUGGUUUGGUUGCUCGAAUCUCACUCAUUCUUUCUCUGAAAAGGAAGAAUGACCUUUGUAGCUUUCCAGGCUCCAAAGCUCCCGGGAGUGGCCAACGUUUUGUAGCUCUGCACGGGAAGCAACAAAUGGUAAGUUCAUCUAGACUGUCCGAUCUAAGCAAAACAACCGCAGGAAUUGGAGAGCAAAGCACAGGCUUACUUGUAUGCGCAGAAUGGAACUCUGGAUUUCAAAGGCCGGCCUGCUCUCAAGAAGAAGAC